CCCAUCCACUAUCUCUCUCCAGAAAAGAACGCCUUAUCCUAAUCUCCUUUCCUCGUCUCAACCUGGUGGUGGCGAAGAACCAGAGGGCCACAGCCGCCGCCAGUGUCGUAGCCCGGGGUGUCGAGGGAGAGGCGACGGACUGGAGGAACCAGGCGAGCCGGUCGGCGGGUAACCGGAGCAGCAGCGCCAUCGUCUCCUCCCUUCGUCUUUCUUCUAGCUGGAGCGGGGUCGGCCAGCUGCCGCAUCCCCGUCGAGGAAGGGGCCACGGAGCUCACGCCGGAGAGUGGCCUAGUGCUUAGGUAAGGCUGCAGCCGCGCCGUCGUGUGGUCUGCUGACACCAAGGGCUGGUCCAUCGCCGGGGCGUGCAUCAGCAGCGACGCCUCCGAUAUUGGCCACCCGCCAUGGAUGUUCCUCUGGUCUGACCCUAGUGCCAUGGAACAAGUCAAGCACGCAUGGCAGCAGAUCGCUGCAGCCAUCCUUCUCACCUGGGAAGGAGGAGAGCCAUCAGCAGCAGCCCAGGUUCGUCUCUCUUUUUCCUCGUCCCUGCUCACUUCCUCAACUCUCUGCUCAGGUUCUGUGUGUUGCUGCUAGAUCCUCAAGUGUGAGUUUAGCCUGCUAGAUGUGUAUACUAGUUUCAGUUUAUCUAGAAGAAGAGGGGAGUGAGGAGACCAGUUUCGCUCGUGUCUUGCUCAAUUCUGUACUAGUUUCUCACCAAGUGUCUCCUGACAUGGGUUAGGUGGAUGGAUGGAUACAUAUAUCUAGCAAAAUGAACAUGAGUAAUUAUUGUCUACUGAUUAAGCCGAUUGAUGCAAGGUGUUCAUAUAUCUAUCUAUCUAUGUGUUACUACUUCUAGGAAAUGGAAUCAGUGUUUUUGCUUGGAGAUUGUACUGAUUUUUACGACCAGGAAUUUUUUUGUUUUUUGCAUUCUAGCUACCUCACUUUUUAGCAUGAGUUGCCUAGAGUUCCAAUUCCCCAACCCCCUUGCUUCUCCAUCUACUCCAACUUGUUCUAUCUAACCUGCUCCGAACUGCUGCAGGAUCUACUCAAUUUUGAUCCUUUUCUUAGUGCCUGCCAGUAGUUGCUUCAAAAUUUAGCAUCAGUUGCUUGAAAUUAUAGGCAAAGUUGUUGCAUUUUUUUUUACUUUUGCACACGAGAUCAUGUGUUAUCAUUUUUGUUUAGAAGGAUCAUGUUUGAGGGAACUUGGUGGGCAGAACAAAUCAACAUAUACAAGUAUAAGUCUAUCAUAUGCUCUGCUCUGCUCUGUCUCUUGAUUGAUGACAACAGAAUUCAGUAGGAGUACCGUUUGUUCAUCCAAUUGAUAAUUCAUUCCUGAACUGCCACCAUUUUUGCGAGAUGAAUAAUGGGCUAGAUUCAGAGAUAAGUGAAUUUUGCCUACAUAUAGAAUUAGAUUGCUACUAUUUUUUUUAUAAAAUGAAAUGAAUGUGCUCCAUGCAACUCAGGGGGUUUUGGUGUUGAUUUUGCAUGAGAUACAACUGAUUUCAAUGUCAUAAACACAUUUUUUUGUGCAACUUGUUGCUUCAAAGCAUGUGUAGUUGCUCAAGUUUAUAAUAUGGGUUGCCUGGAAUUAAACGAAAGGUUACUUUAAUUUUUACUAAAUCUAUAGGGCCUGGAAACAGGGGGAGGUGCGGAUUUUGUACUCCGCUGAGUGGCUUCUCUUGUGACGGGCGUCACGCCUGAUAUGGGGAUUGAAGGGGGUUGGGCAGCAUUGGAUUCGGAAGGCGACUUUCCACUCCAAGGAUAGAAUAGUUACUUGGAUUUCGUUAAAAGAGUUGCAUUUUGUGCGUGUACCGCAGUUGCUUAGUUUUGUUGGGGCAGUUGCUCGGAUUCGUUUUUGAACAUUUUUGUUGCAUUUUUGCCUCUUGUAAUGCGGUUGCUUGGUUUUCCUAGGACAGUUGCUUCCUUUUUACUAGAACAGCUUUGCAUUUUUGUGUUUUUUAAUUGAGUUUCUUGGAUUUUUGCUAGGCUAGAUGAGAAGUUGCAUGGAGAGGGGGGUCAGAUAGUUUUCCACAAAGGUUAUUCAAGUUUCUCACACCUUUUUUUUCUUCCUAAAGUAGUAGAUAAUCUAAGUAGUAAUGCUAGGGACAAUUACCUAUUUUUGCUAGGACAAUUUCACACUUUUCUGUUUCGAGUUGCUUCGAUUGUUUGCUGUAAGUUUUUUAGAUUAUCAUCUCAGAUUUGAAUACGCAUGCAGACUGAGAAGAUACAUCUAUGAAGUAGUUCCUGAUGGCCUAUAACUGAUGCGAUGAUUGACUUGCAUGGCUAUCAUCCCGAUCCUCCUCCCGUCGACGCGCUCCGUGCGAAGCACACCAUCGCCCCACCCUCUACCCUAAAGUAGAUGCUAGGGGAGUUGCUUGAUUUUUCUAGGACAAUUGCUUGGUUUUGCUAGGGUAGUUGCUUGUUUUUCUUGCUAGAACAAUUUUUGCAUUUUGUGUACUUUUGUAGUUGAGUUGUUUGGAUUUUUGCUAGAACAGAUGAGAAGUUACAUGGAGGAGGGGGGAUAAGAUAGUUGUCCACAAAGGUUAUUCAACUUACUCAUAUGUUUUUUUUCUGCCUAAAAUAGACAAUCUAAGUAGUAGUGCCAGAGACAUCUGCUUGUUUCUGCUACAAAAGUUUCCCACUUUUUGCGUUUCUUUGUAAUCGAAUUGCUUUGAUCUUCUGCUACAACAUACGAGAAGGUGGAUGAGAGGGGAGUUGCUUGGUUUUGCUAGGACAUUUUUUUCAUAAAAGGUUAUUCAAGUUGCUCAUACAUUUUUUUCCUCUGCCUAAAAUUGAUGGUAGGGGAGUUGCUUGGUUUUGCUAGGACAAUUGCUUGGUUUUGCUAGGGCAGUUGCUUGUUUUUUUUUUGCUAGAACAAUUUUGCAUUUUUGUGUUUUUUAUAUUGAGUUACAAGCAAAAGGGCUGCUCAACCUGAUGUUUCACAGGGUGAAAUGCUGGAUCGACAUGAGGUACCCAUGGUUUUUUCAGAUUUUUUUUGAUGAAACGGUGAUGAUGAAGAAGGAAAGCAACCGGAACGGGCGAAGAGAGGUGGAUAUGAAGUAAUUCUAAAAAAUACUGUAUUAGUAGAUUAAGUUGCAUCAGAAUAUAUAUGGAGCUGCUUAGUUCACAUCAACAGUUGAAUAAAAAUGCCUGGAACACAUUUUUGCUUUUUUAAUAGUUGUCCAUGAAUCACACUAAAGUUGCCUAUGUUAGAGAAUAUAUAUGUUGUCUCUAUUUGUUGUUUUUGUGGUUCUUUUUUUUCGCACAAGGGUUGCCUGAUAUUACUGCAAGGAGCUUAUGGGGCAGCAACCCCUCUUUUAAUGCAUGACACUAAUUGCUUCAAAUUUUAAAAGAGUUGUCCGAAAUCAUAGCAAAGUUGCUGCAUGUAUUUUUACUUUUGUUUUGGGGAUGCAUGCUACUUUUUAAUGCAAGGAACUCAUAUGGGGCAGCGGACCUUUUUUACAUGCCUGAUAGUAGUUGGACUCAUUGGAUGGUUAAAAGUGUCUACAGAGGCAGAUUCCGAUAUUUGGGGCGUUUUGGUGAUCCACGUUGGAGCUGACCUUAUGAUAGGCGAUUUAGAGGUGAAGCUAGUCAAUUGGUAGUCAUGGUAACCAACUUAUAAGGAUCCUCCGUUGAUGGGUAG
rnacentral:rRNA from 1 species